GUAGGGAAUAUUGCACAAUGGGGGAAACCCUGAUGCAGCGACGCCGCGUGAGUGAUGAAGGCCUUCGGGUCGUAAAGCUCUGUCGUAUGGGACUAACACAAUGAAGGUACCAUGCAAGAAAGGAUCGGCUAACUUCGUGCCAGCAGCCGCGGUAAGACGAGGGAUCCUAGCGUUGUUCGGAAUCAUUGGGCGUAAAGCGGGUGUAGGCGGAUUUAUAAGUCAGGUGUGAAAUCCCAGGGCUCAACCCUGGAAGUGCACUUGAUACUGUAAAUCUUGAGUGUGGUAGAGGUUACUGGAAUUGUUGGUGUAGUGGUGAAAUACGUAGAUAUCAACAGGAAUACCGGAGGCGAAGGCGAGUAACUGGGCCAACACUGACGCUGAGACCCGAAAGCGUGGGGAUCAAACAGGAUUAGAUACCCCUGUAGUCC
rnacentral:rRNA from 1 species